rnacentral:rRNA from 1 species
AACGAACGCUGGCGGCAGGCUUAACACAUGCAAGUCGAACGCAUGCCUUCGGGCAUGAGUGGCAGACGGGUGAGUAACGCGUGGGAACCUACCCCUUGGUACGGGAUAGCUCCGGGAAACUGGAGAUAAUACCGUAUGUGUCCUGAGGGACAAAGAUUCAUCGCCAAGGGAUGGGCCCGCGUCGGAUUAGCUAGUUGGUGGGGUAACGGCCUACCAAGGCGACGAUCCGUAGCUGGUCUAAGAGGAUGAUCAGCCACAUUGGGACUGAGACACGGCCCAAACUCCUACGGGAGGCAGCAGUGGGGAAUAUUGGACAAUGGGCGCAAGCCUGAUCCAGCCAUGCCGCGUGAGUGAUGAAGGCCCUAGGGUUGUAAAGCUCUUUCACCGGUGACGAUAAUGACGGUAACCGGAGAAGAAGCCCCGGCUAACUUCGU